GAUGAACGCUGGCGGCGUGCCUAAUACAUGCAAGUCGAGCGAACGGACGAGAAGCUUGCUUCUCUGAUGUUAGCGGCGGACGGGUGAGUAACACGUGGAUAACCUACCUAUAAGACUGGGAUAACUUCGGGAAACCGGAGCUAAUACCGGAUAAUAUUUUGAACCGCAUGGUUCAAAAGUGAAAGACGGUCUUGCUGUCACUUAUAGAUGGAUCCGCGCUGCAUUAGCUAGUUGGUAAGGUAACGGCUUACCAAGGCAACGAUGCAUAGCCGACCUGAGAGGGUGAUCGGCCACACUGGAACUGAGACACGGUCCAGACUCCUACGGGAGGCAGCAGUAGGGAAUCUUCCGCAAUGGGCGAAAGCCUGACGGAGCAACGCCGCGUGAGUGAUGAAGGUCUUCGGAUCGUAAAACUCUGUUAUUAGGGAAGAACAUAUGUGUAAGUAACUGUGCACAUCUUGACGGUACCUAAUCAGAAAGCCACGGCUAACUACGUGCCAGCAGCCGCGGUAAUACGUAGGUGGCAAGCGUUAUCCGGAAUUAUUGGGCGUAAAGCGCGCGUAGGCGGUUUUUUAAGUCUGAUGUGAAAGCCCACGGCUCAACCGUGGAGGGUCAUUGGAAACUGGAAAACUUGAGUGCAGAAGAGGAAAGUGGAAUUCCAUGUGUAGCGGUGAAAUGCGCAGAGAUAUGGAGGAACACCAGUGGCGAAGGCGACUUUCUGGUCUGUAACUGACGCUGAUGUGCGAAAGCGUGGGGAUCAAACAGGAUUAGAUACCCUGGUAGUCCACGCCGUAAACGAUGAGUGCUAAGUGUUAGGGGGUUUCCGCCCCUUAGUGCUGCAGCUAACGCAUUAAGCACUCCGCCUGGGGAGUACGACCGCAAGGUUGAAGCUCAAAGGAAUUGACGGGGACCCGCACAAGCGGUGGAGCAUGUGGUUUAAUUCGAAGCAACGCGAAGAACCUUACCAAAUCUUGACAUCCUUUGACAACUCUAGAGAUAGAGCUUUCCCCUUCGGGGGACAAAGUGACAGGUGGUGCAUGGUUGUCGUCAGCUCGUGUCGUGAGAUGUUGGGUUAAGUCCCGCAACGAGCGCAACCCUUAAGCUUAGUUGCCAUCAUUAAGUUGGGCACUCUAAGUUGACUGCCGGUGACAAACCGGAGGAAGGUGGGGAUGACGUCAAAUCAUCAUGCCCCUUAUGAUUUGGGCUACACACGUGCUACAAUGGACAAUACAAAGGGCAGCGAAACCGUGAGGUCAAGCAAAUCCCAUAAAGUUGUUCUCAGUUCGGAUUGUAGUCUGCAACUCGACUACAUGAAGCUGGAAUCGCUAGUAAUCGUAGAUCAGCAUGCUACGGUGAAUACGUUCCCGGGUCU
rnacentral:rRNA from 1 species